rnacentral:misc_RNA from 1 species
CACCCCUCAAGCCUAGCUUGCUGUUGGGCCCUGCCGGGGACGGCAGGCCUUAAAGUCAGUGACGGUUACCCCUAACCUCAGGCGCACAGAUGCUGCCAUGACGGGAAGGGGCGAUCAGUAUCUUCAAGA